UAAGAUAUUUCCCUCUUUUCUUUUCAGUCUUUUCAAUUUCUCUCACUUACUCUCUUUUUUUUUUUUUUUUUUUUUUUUUCUCGAGUGAUAAUUAACAAUGUAGUGUAGGUACACUAAAAAAAACAGUUCAAAUUACGGAGUUUUUUUUGCAUGGAUUAUUUCAACUUUCAUAAAAUUAUAUGAAAUGCGGGGUUAAAAAAUUGCCGCUAAAAUUUAUAAAUUUGCAGGGGUUUUAAACCUUCACUAUCAAUAGAAAAAAUAGCCUAUACCAUUAAAAUCAUUUCCCUCAUUUCUUUUUCAUUGACCAAAAUUUUCCCUCAUUUUUUAAUUCACCUUCCAUUCCCCCAAAAUCUCCCUCUCUCUCACAUUUCCCCCAAAUCAGCUUUUACUGUGUUACCCCCCUCCCCCACCCCCCCCUAAAAAAAAACAAAAAAAACUCAAGGUCAAUUGAUACGCCGGCCAAUCGACUCCGGUCAUUUUGCUUCGAAAUUGACUCCGCCGACCGGCCAUUGGAAUUGCGCUGAACUCCGAAAUUGUGAUAUUUUGUAUAUUCGUCAAAUUCUUCAAUGGAUAAAUCUUGAAUUGGAAUGCCAAGAAACACACUAGAGUAUUUGUUUGGUUUGAAUCAGUUUUUAGAUUUUGCAUUUACCAAUGGAGCUAUAGGAGAUAAAAUAAAGUGCCCAUGUCCUAUAUGUGGUUUUACAAAGUGAAAAAUAAAAAAUGUGGUGUUUCACCAUUUGAUGAACAAGGAUUUCCCCCAACAUUACGUCACUUGGGUUAUGUAUGAGGAAAUGAAUGUUUUGCCUAAUUCCAAAAACAUAAAGGUCGCUCAAGAUGCACCACCUUUUGAAAAUCCUAUUGAAUUAUUGAUUAAUGAAGCAUUUGGGGGUUUAAGGAAUGAGGCUGUUGAUGUAGGCCCGUCAGAAGUAGCGGGAGAAGAAGAAACUUUACAUGAUUUUUCUGGUUCAAAUAACCAAGAUUAUUUUGAAUUGCUUAAAGAUGGAAGUGAAGAUUUGUAUGAAGGAUCCAAGUACUCAAAGUUGGAAUUUUUGUUAAAGCUUUAUCACAUAAAGUGUUUGUCUGAUUUAAGUAAUAAAGGAAUGACUAUGUUGCUAGAUCUACUUAAGGAUGUGUUUAAAUUUGCAAAGAUCUCUAUAUCUUUUUAUGAGGCUAAGAAAAGCAUCAACAAGUUGUGUCUUGAUUAUAUCAAGAUAGAUGCUUGCCCAAAUGAUUUUAUGUUGUACUGGGAAGAUGAUGUUAAUGCAGAAUCGUGCAAGUAUUGUCACACUUCUAGAUGGAAGUCCGAGAAGGAUAGCAAUCUUGAUCAUGCUCCUAGUACAAAGCAUAUGAGAUGGCAUGCAGAGGAUGAUAACAAAGAUGGAAUCUUAAGGCACCCCCGAGAUGGUGAAGCAUGGAAAAGGCUUGAUACAAAUUAUCCUGAAUUUGCUUUUGAGCCUCGAAAUGUUCGAUUAGGACUAGCUAGUGAUGGUUUCAAUCCUUUUGGAUCGAUGAGUAAUAACUAUAAUAUUUGGCCAGUGGUUUUGUUUCCAUACAAUCUUCCUCCUUGGUUGUGUAUAAAGUAGUCAAAUUUUAUCCUCUCAAUGAUCAUUCUAGGUCCACGUACAGUAGGGAAUAACAUAGUUGUAUAUCUACAACCACUUAUUAAGGAGUUGAAUGAGUUGUGGAGUGAAGGUGUGGAUACUUUUGAUUUAUCAAAGAAUGAAAUGUUCAAAAUGCGAGCAACACUUAUGUGGACAGUUAGCGAUUUUCCUGGACUUGAUAUCUUGUCUGGUUGGAACACUCAUACUGGUCUUGCAUGUCCUUCUUGUAAUUUUGAUGCAGAGCCUUGUCGACUUCGUCAUAGUAAAAAGUGGUGUUUUAUUGGACACCAUUGAUUCUUGGCAAGAAAUCAUAAAUUUAGACUGAUGAGACAUCGUUUUGAUGGAAAUGUAGAAGAGAGGGCCCCUCCAAAGAAGUCAUCUGGGUUGAAAAUUUUGCAACAGGUGAAAGAUAUCAAUGUCACAUUUGGAAGACAAUCAGAGUUGCAAAAAAGAAAAAGGAAAAAGAAUGUUGGGAGGAUACAACUCAACAAUAGAAGAAGAAAAACAUAUUCUUUGAUCUUCCAUAUUGGGAGUUUAAUUCGUUGCCACAUAAUUUAGAUUCGAUGCAUAUCGAAAAGAAUGUGUGUGACAAUGUUAUAUAUACUUUGUUAAAUAAUAAAGAAAAGUCAAAGGAUCAUGCUAAGGCUCGAAGAGAUCUACAAGAUAUGGGCAUAAGGUGUGAUCUUUGGAUCGAUGAGAAUGAUGAGUGUAAACUUGCUGCAUUUGUAAUUCCCAAGAACAAGAAAGUGGCUUUCCUCAAGACUUUAAAGAAUAUAUCAGUGUCGGAUGGUUAUUCAAGUAAUAUAUCUCGUCGUAUUGAUUUGGAUAAAAAAAAUUGGAUUAAAAAGUCAUGAUUGUCACAUUCUUAUGCAACAAUUGUUACCCAUAGCAAUUCGCAAUGUGAUUCCAAGACAGGUUGUUGCAACUUUGGUUAAGUUUUCUUCCCCUUUCAGGCAGCUCUGUUUGAGAAGUUUAAGUUUUGCAGACUUAAACAAGCUACAAAAUCGAAUUGUGGAAACUCUUUGCCAUUUGGAGAUUUUGUUUCCUUCAUCAUUUUUACUGUAAUGAUUCAUCUAACUGUUCAUCUAGCUGAUGAGGUAAAAAAAGGUGGCCCGGUACAUUAUCACUGGAUGUAUUCUGUUGAGAGAUUGUUGGGCCAUUUUAAGUUCCUUGUAGGGAACAAAUCACAAGCAGAAGGUUCCAUAGUGGUAGAAGCUUUUACUCUUUAUUCUCAUUAUUUUGAGAAAAUUGAGUCAAGGUUAAAUCGACCUAGACGUGUAAAUGAUGAACUAAGCCAAAAUGAGGCUUCUGAAAAGUCAAGUAUGUUCCCUCAACAAGCCAAGUGAUGCGGCUAGUGGAUCCAUUUCGCCCAUGGAUGCAAGGAGAUCACGCGAUGAUAAUGAUCUUAACGAUAUUCUUUGAAUUCGUUGCAUUUGUCUUGGGUAUUCAAUUAUGACGAUGUAAUUGUGUAAUUGGAGUGAAUCUUAGAAUAUUGAAGGUUUUGUGUUUACAUUUGAUUUUGGAGUUUGAACUUUGAAGAUACUAGUUAAUAUUGAAAAUUCGGAGUUUGAAGAUGUUAAUGUUGAAAAUUUAAUUUUG